UACGUAGGGUGCAAGCGUUAAUCGGAAUUACUGGGCGUAAAGCGUGCGCAGGCGGCUUUGCAAGACAGAUGUGAAAUCCCCGGGCUUAACCUGGGAAUUGCAUUUCAAACUGGCCGACUAGAGUACGGUAGAGGGAGGUAGAAUUUCCUGUGUAGCGGUGAAAUGCGUAGAUAUAGGAAGGAAUACCAGUGGCGAAGGCGGCCUCCUGGAUCGAUACUGACGCUGAGGCGCGAAAGCGUGGGGAGCAAACAGG
rnacentral:rRNA from 1 species